GCGGCGAGUGAAGCGGCAAAAGCUCAAAUUUGAAAUCUGGCGUCUUUGGCGUCCGAGUUGUAAUUUGAAGAAGGUAUCUUUGGGCCCGGCUCUUGUCUAUGUUCCUUGGAACAGGACGUCACAGAGGGUGAGAAUCCCGUGCGAUGAGAUGACCCGGGUCUGUGUAAAGUUCCUUCGACGAGUCGAGUUGUUUGGGAAUGCAGCUCUAAGUGGGUGGUAAAUUCCAUCUAAAGCUAAAUAUUGGCGAGAGACCGAUAGCGAACAAGUACAGUGAUGGAAAGAUGAAAAGAACUUUGAAAAGAGAGUGAAAAAGUACGUGAAAUUGUUGAAAGGGAAGGGCUUGAGAUCAGACUUGGUAUUUUGCAUGCUGCUCUCUCGGGGGCGGCCGCUGCGGUUUACCGGGCCAGCAUCGGUUUGGAGCGGCAGGAUAAUGGCGGAGGAAUGUGGCACGGCUUCUGCUGUGUGUUAUAGCCUCUGACGAUACUGCCAGCCUAGACCGAGGACUGCGGUUUUUACCUAGGAUGUUGGCAUAAUGAUCUUAAGUC
rnacentral:rRNA from 1 species